UUGGGGGGGGAAAGGGGCUCAACGAGCGGAGGAGGUGUCCGUCACUCCCCGACACACACACGCGCCACCCCCCCCCCUUCGGUUGGGCUCGGCAGGCUGGGCGCGAGCGCGCGUGGGAGCGGGGGGAAAUCUUUCUGUCGCCUCCCCCGGUGGCGAGGGAGGAGGCAGGGAGGGACGGUCUCGGUAAUUCGGCGAUCGGCCGCGCGGGCUGGGGGUGAGGCUGCGGAAUCCCGAGCCGCGGAUGGGGCGGGAGAGGCAGCGCUGCCGGGACACGACGGGGUUAAGCUGGGUCGACCGCCAUUUUGAAUGGCGGGGAGGUCUCGCCGUUGCCCUGUAUCAGAAAAAUCUGCCGCCGAAUGUGCCUACAGGAAAAUGCAUAACUAUAGUGAGAAGAGAAAAAGGGCUGCUGAAACUACUGCAUCACCCUGCCUUCCAUGGCUGUCCCUGACCACUGUGGGAAUGCUGCUUUGGAUGGCUCUUGCUCUUGUGGUCCUAAACUGCCCCCGCAGCACGCUGGCCAGGUGACAAGCAGGCUGGUAUUCAGGAGUUGCUCAGUCAAAAUGGAAGACAGUGAGUGGAGGAGAAGCAUCUGGGUCAUUUGACACAUGCAAAAGCUCACAUAGCAGUGGGAGUUAGUGGAAGAAGACCAAGGACAGAGAUCAUCAAACUUGUACAGGCCAAGAACAAGG